GAUGAAGAACGUAGCGAAAUGCGAUAAGUAAUGCGAAUUGCAGAAUCCGUGAGUCAUCGAAUCUUUGAACGCACAUUGCGCCCGCCAGUAUUCUGGCGGGCAUGCCUGUCUGAGCGUCAUUUCAACCCUCACGCCCCUAGGGCGUGGUGUUGGGGAUCGGCCAGCGCCCUCGCGGGCGAGGCCGUCCCCUAAAUCUAGUGGCGGACCCGUCGUGGCCUCCCCUGCGAAGUAGUGAUAUUCCGCAUAGGAGAGCGACGAGCCCCUGCCGUUAAACCCCCAACUUUCUCAGGUUGACCUCAGAUCAGGUAGGAAUACCCGCUGAACUUAAGCAUAUCAAUAAGCGGAGGA
rnacentral:misc_RNA from 1 species